CCCCUCUAAGGAUCGCACCUGGAGAGUCUCCAGUACUCUAUCAGUCUUGGCUAAGGGAGGGAGAGUCAAGCAGAGGCAUUACCAUUCCAUUCCUAGCUUGGGCAAUUGAUAGUGAGUGGAAGACAAUCUGCUACAAGU